GCGGCGCUGAACUGUAAAGCCUUUGUGAAUCAAUGAGGUUAUAUCCCACCACAGAGUGUGAAGCCCAGUGUCUGAGCCGUAAGCUGCUUUCCAUCGAGACACCUCGGACGAAUAUAUUAUUUUUUCCUGAACAGGACUAUGAAUAGACAUAGUGUCCGUCUGCACGAAAGAAAAACUGAAAAUUAGCAAGCAGAAGAAGGAACAUCUGGCGAAAGUGGACCUGAGGAGCCCCAACUGAGGACCGGUGAAUCAUUCUGGGGGGAUGUCUCCACAAGAGCAGACAGGCCCUGGGUGUCCAGAGAGGAGUUGCUGUAGAGAGGGACUGCAGGUCGGCCUCAAGGCAGAGCGAGCAUGCCGGUUGCAUUUGAUCCUGUCUUUCACCCUUCUUCUAAGCACGGUAACAUUUACCUUACAUCUCAAACCAAAGCUUCAGCAUUUUUUUGCUGCCCAACCUAAACAACAUAUUCCUCACACAACGACAUUGGAACAUUAUUUAAAAGAAACUGCUCCGAACGCGUCCUCAUCUGGCUCUGUCUUAAAAUGUCUCAAACUGGUGCUGAGAGAUUUACAGCAAAGAUGCAGCUCUGCUUUCUCUCAGCCAUCACUGACGUUUGUUGGAAGGGUGCUAUUUGUAAACUGGCUUGGAACUGGUGUGUGUAAACGUGGAAAGAAU
ensembl:lncRNA